AGCAUGUGGUUAAUUCGAAGCAACGCGAAGAACCUUACCUGGGCUUGACAUCCCUGGAAUCCCCUGGAAACAGGGGAGUGCCUUCGGGAGCCAGGAGACAGGUGCUGCAUGGCUGUCGUCAGCUCGUGUCGUGAGAUGUCGGGUUAAGUCCCGCAACGAGCGCAACCCUCGCCUUUAGUUGCCAGCAUUCAGUUGGGCACUCUAAAGGGACUGCCGGUGUCAAACCGGAGGAAGGUGGGAUGACGUCAAGUCCUCAUGGCCUUUAUGUCUAGGGCUACACACGUACUACAAUGGCAGGUACAAAGGGCAGCGACACAGCGAUGUGAUGCGAAUCCCGAAAAGCCUGUCUCAGUCCGGAUCGGAGUCUGCAACUCGACUCCGUGAAGUUGGAAUCGCUAGUAAUCGCAGGUCAGCAUACUGCGGUGAAUACGUUCCCGGGCCUU
rnacentral:rRNA from 1 species